rnacentral:hammerhead_ribozyme from 1 species
AUCUAACUGACGAGUCCUAAAUAGGACGAAAAGUGCGUGUAAACUGGAU